CUCGCGGCUUCGUGGGAAAUGCCGCAAUUUCGCCGUCAACAGGUCAAGGACCCGCCAAACUGCGGGGCUCAACUGCCGGUGUUGCCUCGAUGGCCCGGUCCCUUCGGACGCCGGCUUGUCAGCCCCCCAGCCCCCCGGAGUUCGGUGGGGCCGGGCCGUUCAAUCGAGGCCAACUAGCGGCUGGCGUUUCGCCGGCCGUUUU
rnacentral:sRNA from 1 species